UAUUUAUAUACAUACAUACAGAUCUACAUGCAUACAUACAACCAUACAUACAUACACCCAUACAUACAUACACCCAUACGUAUGAACAACCAAAGGGAAGCACGCAAAAGUGCAAAGCAUUCAUACACACCAAUACUCAGCGAGAAUACGUUGCUCAAACAUGCCAAAAAUCACGAUCUUCAUUCGCUUCUCAACCUGCUUAUCCAACAACCGACUUAAGUUGAUUAACGCCAACUCAGCCAGCACCAGCUUCCGUAGCUUCCGUAGGUGACUUCCGUGACCGUUUCGGACCGCCAAUAUUAAGUGCCGCCCUGGGCCAAGACUACAACA
rnacentral:lncRNA from 1 species